rnacentral:snoRNA from 1 species
GCAUGGGUUGGCUUUAUGGCAGGCCCAUCCUCCUGGGCCUCUCUUAGUGUCCCAUGCCAGCAAGUUAUGACCCCUGAACCAUUGCUUGGCCUCUGCCUGUAGGCUGCUGGCACUAAAGUGGGUUGCACAAUG